GUCGUGAGACAGGUUAGUUUUACCCUACUGAUGACCGACGUCGCAACGGUAAUUCAAGUUAGUACGAGAGGAACACUUGAUUCAGAUAAUUGGUUUUUGCGGCUGUCUGACCAGGCAGUGCCGCGACGCUACCAUCUGCCGGAUUAUGGCUGAACGCCUCUAAGUCAGAAUCCGUGCCGGAACGCGACGUUACUACCCGCCCGUCGUAGACGGAUACGAAUAGGCCUCUGGCCACGCACCUCAACAGGCUGGUAACGGUGGGCGUCCGGAAAGGGGCGUCCACUCACCGGCGAAUUGUCAUUUUAACACGGGCGGGCAUGGGCCCUCUGCAGACGACUGAGUUGUAUAUCAUGGUGGU
rnacentral:rRNA from 1 species